CCUGAAGCCGUUGACGGCCGCGGACGAGCAUGGCUGCUCUACAUCCGGGGUUUCGCCGUCACUUCAUUUUGCUCAAAGGGUCCUGUGCAGCAACGGGGACGCCAUUGAGUGUCGUUGGCGUGUCGACCACUUCCCAGGUUCUAGCAGAUUGUUGGUGGAGACCGCUACAGCAGGCUCGUGCAGACUGGUGGUGUUGGUGGGGACCGCUACAGCCAUCGGAAGGGAUUUGGCAGGAGGUGGAGCCUUCUUUGCUUGACUUUUACUGCCAAGGUAGCUUUUUCCCUUCCCAUGGUUCUUCCCUUUCAUUAUUGAUGCAUUUACCUGCAAUCCUGAGCCUCAACCUGGUGUAUUUGGUGAUCACUCUCCUCUUGACAUCAUGGCAGGAUGGAAGGUUUGAUUUCAUAGUCAUGGCCUCUUCCACUAGUUCACUGACUGAGCACUCCAUUAGGGCUUCUGAUGUCCUGGCCCGGAACAGCUGCUCAACGUGCUGCAGUAAAGAGAAUACAUCCGCAGAUGGCUGGUGAAGUGCGCCCUCUCUGUACUCCUUCAUCUGCAGCAGUGUGGCGUUGUCCGGUACAGCGUCGUCACUGUUCCUUAAGGCAGGCUUACAGGCCGAACACAAAGAGCCGCCUAGUACACCCUUGAUGACGUAUCCGGCCAGAUGGUAUAGCACACAGGACUCCGCUUUUGUGAGUGCAUUUGGUGGAUGGGUGGCUGGUGGUGGUGGUGUGUCUACCAAGUGCUAGAAUCAUAGCUGUCAUCUGUUGUAAUUAUUCACUUGGUCAUAAUGAUACCACAGAUUCAUUGAAAAUCACUUCUUUCAAUCAGCAGUGACUGGCUGUGAAAUAUUUAACCGUCCAGAUCCAGUUCAACAUUUGACUAAUAUCACUGUUUUUGUCUUUUGUAUUCCCAUUGAGUUGUGUUACAGGUGGAAAUGAUUCUGCUCCUACUGCAUGAGACUGCUGCUGUUGAUGGGGAAGUGCUUUUGCCAGAAAUGGCUUAGUUGCAGGUGGUGGCUUUCUUGAGUUGCACUGAUAAGGUAACCUAACUAACCUUUUGAGGACCCUUACAGUAAGUAAUAUUAUAUCUGUGUCUAACAUUUUGUAUUUCCGGUGAUUGAGGUCUUUAGCUGCAAAAUGUAUAGGACUUUGGUCAGACUAGUAGGGCCGGAUAUAUGUGCACAGCAACAUAGUUGUCUUUUUUUUGUUUCUAUACGCCAUCCCAAUGGAAUUCAAAUGAAACUACGGUAACAAGAGAAUAAAAGUGCCUUUCAAAACAUUCAAGGAUCAGAGAGAAGUAAUAAUAAAACGAAGACACAUUAACACAUUUUUAACAAAAAUAAAACGGUAGUUAAAAAGUCCUAAGGAAUAGGCUAACUGAAACAAAUGAGUUUUUAGUCUGCAUUUGAACUUGGGUAAUAAGUCAGGGGGCAGUGCAUUCCAGAGCUGAGGAGCAGAGCAACUGAAAAGCUCUAUUCCCCAUGGUACUGAGAUGGGCAGAGGGACAGAGAGGAGGAUGGUCGAGGACAAACCGAGGUAGCGAGAGGGAAUGGCAAGGCAAGAUUGUUGCAAGAUUGUGAAUGGCCUGGAAGGUGUGCAGGACAGGAGUAUUUUAAGAAGCACAGGGUAUUGAGCACUCAGAGACAUAGCCAAGGUAAGAAUGGAAGACGCCGAACAACCAUUCAACAAGUUAAUUGAGUCAAGACUGGGUCAUGAAAUACCAGAGGACAGUUUUCAAAGGUAUGGACUAGUGAAAGUGACUGUUGACAGACAGGGUGUCAAGACAAUGGUAUUUGUGUCGUAUUCGUGGGUAAGCGGUUAGGGUGUCAGACUUGUAGCCCAAAGGAUGCUGGUUCGACUCCGACCCGCCAGGUUGGUGCGGGGAGUAAUUAACCAGUGCUCUCCCCCAUCCUCCUCCCUGACUGAGGUACCCUGAUCAUGGUACCGUCCCGCCACACUGCGCCAUUGGGGACUGCCCCCUUGCAUGGAUGAGGCAGAAAUGCAAUUUUCUAGUGUGCAGUGUUCACUUGAAUUUUGUGGAGUACUGUGUCACAGUGAAUUUAAAUGUAUUACUUUAAUAAAUGUUAAUGACAAGUAGGAAUGGGCAGCAUAGUGGCAAUGCCUAGUCUUGCCACCCUUGUAAGAUCAGAUAACUAACUUUUAGUGUCUGUUUUCACCCUUGUAAGAUCAGAUAACUAACUUUUAGUGUCUGUUUUCACAGAAAUUUGUCUAGCGUGACACUUCUCCACAAUCCACAUGUAAACAGGCAUUUAAAAACAAUAUGGCCAUUGGUCUUGUCCUCUAGGUCCUCUAGGCCCAAGCUGUUAGGGCAGCACAGUACAAUAAAUUAAGUUGCCAAAAAAAAAACUUAAAAUAUUCCUCUGUGGUAUUAAAAAAAAUAUGCUUUCCAUGUAGAUGUGUGCAUUCUACUGUUCUCCACUUCUGUGAAGCAAUACUAUAGGAUGAGGGUGAAAAUGGUGUU